rnacentral:rRNA from 1 species
UACGUAGGGUGCGAGCGUUGUCCGGAAUUAUUGGGGCGUAAAGGGCUCGUAGGCGGUUUGUCGCGUCGGCCGUGAAAUCUCCACGCUUAACGUGGAGCGUGCGGUCGAUACGGGCAGACUUGAGUUCGGUAGGGGAGACUGGAAUUCCUGGUGUAGCGGUGAAAUGCGCAGAUAGUCAGGAGGAACACCGGUGGCGAAGGCGGGUCUCUGGGCCGAUACUGACGCUCAUGCACGAAAGGCGUGGG